UUUACAUUUAGGUAUGUUUUUUCAGUGGCUGAUAACAGGUUUUCCUUUCCAUAUUUAGUGUAUCCUUCAGGAGCUCUUGCAAGGCAGGCCUGGUGGUGACUAAUUACCUCAGCAUUUGCUUGUCUGAAAAUGACAUUAUUUCCCCUUCUCUUUUUAAGCUUAGUUUGGCCAGAUAUGAUAUUCCUGGUUAGAAAUCCUUAUCUUUAACAAUGUUGAAUAUUGGCCCCCAAUAUCUUCUGGCUUGAAAGAGGAAUCAUCUAGCUGGAUCUUUUUCUAGUGAUUUUUUUUCCCCAGAAAACAAUAUGUAAGGGAGGAGGAAAGGAACAGGAAAG